AUGCCUGGAAGAACAGAGGUGGAACAGCUGCAUAAGAUUUUUAAGCUUUGUGGUUCACCAUCAGAGAAUUAUUGGAAAAAAGAAAAAUUACAUCAUUCAACAGCAUUUAAACCAUUACUUCCUUACAGACGGCGUCUUGGGGAAACAUUUAAGGAUUUUCCUCCAUCUGCUGUGAGGUUGAUGGACACAUUACUUUCUAUAGAUCCUGAACUUAGGGGAACAGCUGUCAGUGCUCUGGAGAGUGAGUUCUUCACCACAAAG
rnacentral:misc_RNA from 1 species